UUGGGGUGUAUUCAGUUCUUAUGGGACUAAACAUAUGUUGGAGCCAAAAUAAAUGAAGCCCAAAAACAUUCAAAAUUGUGGGAGUUGAAUUGCUCAAGUUUGUUUCCCUUCCCAAUUGCAUAUUCUCUUCGAGACAGAAUAUAGGAUUUGUAUAUUGUGUUCUAAAUCUCUUUACUGAAACAGUUGUAUUGGAAUCUGGUAUCAAGCCACAAAUUCGAUACAACUUAUCAGUUCUGAAGAAUAAAAUUUUCCAAUCAAAUAGAUUUAGGAUCUGUUUGGUUCGAGGGAAUAAGACCCUGGAAUUGGAAUGGGUCAUUUCGAUUCUGAAUGUUUGGUCGACCAGAACGGGAAUGAAUAGGUGAAAUGGGGAAUGGCCAUUCCCGACCCCCUCCCUCGGAAUGUGAUUCCCAUUCCGCCAUUAGUUUUGACAAAAAAGCCCCUCCAAACCAACCUGCGAUUGAGUUGCUGUGAAAAGGAAGAAUCACUUGUCGUUGCCAUCUCCGGUGAGAUCCGCCCCAUCUCCACUUCGGAUCUGCCCUGCUGUGAUUCAUUUUACAGAGCUGCCCUAUUUUUGUUCGUUUUAAUCUGCUUCCUACUCUGGUGAGACAUAUGUUUUGUUUGGUUUGAUUAUAGCUCUGGGAGAUCGGCCGGUACAUAUGUUUUAGGAUUUUCCAUACAUUUGUUUGGUUUGAUUAUAGCUCUGGUUUUAUGACCUAUUUUGCACCUUAUCCCCUUGACUGUAAGCCUGAACGGCUCCUUCUGAUAGACUCCAAAAGCGGCAAAUAGCAGUGCAGAAGGGUUAGCAAGGGACAAUUGGCAGGCUCAAAAACGACAACAUUGGAACAUGGCAGUUAGACAUAUAUUGUGGGAAGUAGAAAGUUUAGCUAGGGAAUUAAGAGUAAUUUUCUCAUGGACUUUGAGAUCAAUGAACAGAAUGACAUGCAUUAGCUAGGCAGGAAGUGAGCAGAAGGGUUGGAGUUGCAGGAAUGUAAAAAUUGGAACUUUUGGGUUAGCCAUCAGUGCUGGUCUGUAUCUUUACAGGUUCUAGGCAAACUUUCCUUUGUAAUCAAACCUAUUCUUUAUACAUUUCUUAAUAAAUCUGAACAAUUAAACAAUAAGAAAGAUAACAAGGGAAAUCUGGCUUUGGGGGCCUGGUGCUGUUGUAUUUGUUCCCUUAUUUGGAACAUUGUUUUUCUAUAUUUCUUUGUUAAGGAAAUUUUCAUUUACUGUUGUUGAUACAAAUAAGGCACACAAAUAGUUCAAACAUCAGUCUUUUUCUUGUAAUAAUCUAUCAAAGAUAACACAUGUUUAUUCUUCUGCGAAGGCAAACAUAAGCACACAAUCAAUAAGCCAGUGCCAUCGCUAGUAGAACUCAGACUUCUUUCAAGCCACCAUUCAAGUUUACUGUGUCAAAUGUGGGUGAACUCUGUAAGCUUCGGCAUCCACCUUUGUUUCCACAUUCAUAUAAUUGGUCUCCAGAGUAUUGAACUUUUAAUAGAAGGCGAAAUCCAUAGUACAUGAAGGAUAUAUACUUCAACCACUGCAUAAAUGCUGGUAUGUGCUGCAAAAAAGGAUAACAAAUAAAAUAGAAAGCAUGAAAGGAAUUGACCCUUAGGCAUUUAAGGAAUGGGGAAUGAUUUUUUUUUAACCUUUAGGGUUUCAAUAGGCCAAUAUAGAAAUGAAUUUUCAUUGAUAGGUCCAAAGUUUUUGUAAGGCCAUGGAUGAAAUAAAUGGAAAACAACAGUAAUAAUGGAAAAUUUUAACUGACAUAAUAAGAAGCGGAAUGGUAUAUUUAAACAAGUAUGAUUGAAUACCUGGACAUAGUAACCUCCAGUGAGGAGAAACAACAUUAGGACCAAAGAGGCAAUCAUCCSAGCUCUUUUGAUGCUUAAAACAGCAGCACCAAAGAGUUCCCCUGCUCCCUAAGUACAGAAUUAGAUCAGAUUAGUUGUUGACUUGACAGAUGACGACCAGUUAAAUUAUUUGUAGGUUCUCUACUUGGCUUGUUAUUACAAUCAAUAGUACUGAGAAUAAUGUCAUGAAGAAGAAAGGGACUGUUCUCUUGAAGUCAGCCAUGAAAUAUAAAAUGAGCAUGAAGAAUGUAGGAUACAAAAUACUCAAAAAAACAGAAAAAGCAUCCAGUUCAUUUUGAGUCCAGUCUCUAAGUCUCCUACUUUUUCUGUUUAUUUCAGCACUGUUAAAUUGUUCAGGAUCAGAUCAAAGGAAGCUCAAAAGAAUGAGCUUUCUGGGGUUAAUUAUCUUUCUUGACAAAGAAAAUGCUCAUUAUGAUGAAGAGGAUGAUAAUCUACUGCAGAAUUCAUGGGCUUUGAUAUCACUGCAUAUGAUAAAACUGCUCCAUUUAGCAACAGUUUGUUUUAUCUAUCACUGGCUAGUACUAUAUAGUAUAUUCUAAAAGCUUAGAUGCAACUUGUGGAAACCCAAGGUCAAACUUAUGAAGAUCAAGCCAGCAGCCUUAACAUAUCAACUCACAGGCUGCAGAUGCUAUUUCUUCAAUAUCUCUUAAAGAAAGUCUUGGAGAUAUAGAAGGUUAUCUGUAUAGUUCAGCAUCCCCACCCAAGGGUUUGAAUUGUUUUGGAAUUUUAGAAAACCUUUGUUUAUUAAUUUGGUAUUUCUUAGGCAGCAAGUUUUAGAAUGCCACAUAGCAAAUGGUUUGGGCAGUUCACGAAGGGUGUGUCUAUUACUUUUCUCUAUGUAUAUCACUGUAUAUCUGAUGAGAAUAAGUGGAAAUAAAUAAAAAAAAAAAAAAAGCUUUGAAGUUCUUGGUUUUAA